rnacentral:rRNA from 1 species
GACGAACGCUGGCGGCGUGCCUAAUACAUGCAAGUCGAACGAACCGCGACUAGGUGCUUGCACUUGGUCAAGGCGAGUGGCGAACGGGUGAGUAACACGUGGGUAACCUACCUCAUAGUGGGGGAUAACAGUCGGAAACGACUGCUAAUACCGCAUAGGACAUAGGAUCACAUGAUCCAGUGAGGAAAGGUGGCGCAAGCUAUCGCUAAGAGAUGGACCCGCGGUGGAUUAGCUAGUUGGUAGGGUAAAGGCCUACCAAGGCGAUGAUGCAUAGCCGACCUGAGAGGGUGAUCGGCCACAUUGGGACUGAGACACGGCCCAAACUCCUACGGGAGGCAGCAGUAGGGAAUCUUGCACAAUGGACGCAAGUCUGACGGAGCAACGCCGCGUGAGUGAAGAAGGUCUUCGGAUCGUAAAGCUCUGUUGUUAGGGAAGAACAGCGCAUAGAGUAACUGUUAUGCGUGUGACGGUAUCUAAACAGAAAGCCACGGCUAACUACGUG